rnacentral:rRNA from 1 species
UCAUUUGCCCUGUAAUUGAGGGCUAGUAUGAAUGGUUUGACAAGAGUAGUACUGUCUCCACAGAAAUUUUUAGAAUUUAUUAUCUAAGUGAAGAAUCUUAGAUAUAAUUAAAAGACAAGAAGACCCUAUCGAGCUUGAAAUAUAUUUACAAGAUAAAAAAAAUAGUUAAUAUAUUUUCAAUUGUAAAAAAUUUUGGUUGGGGCGACUAAGGAACAAAUAAAACUUCUUUAUAAUAACUUUAACUUAUGAGUAGUGAUCCGUUAAUUAUAGCGAUUAAAAGAAUUAGUUACCGUAGGGAUAACAGCAUAAUCUUUUUUGAGAGUUCUAAUCGAAAAAAGGGUUUGU